rnacentral:rRNA from 1 species
GACGAACGCUGGCGGCGUGCUUAACACAUGCAAGUCGAACGAGUGGCGAACGGGUGAGUAACACGUGGGUGACCUGCCCUGCACUUCGGGAUCAGCCUGGGAACCUGGGUCUAAUUCCGGCUAGUGUGGGCUGGGCCCGCGGCCUCUCAGCUUGUUGGUGGGGUAAUGGCUACCAAGGCGCGACGGGUAGCCGGCCUGAGAGGGUGGACGGCCACAUGGGGACUGAGACACGGCCCAGACUCCUACGGGAGGCAGCAGUGGGGAAUAUUGCACAAUGGGCGGAAGCCUGAUGCAGCGACGCCGCGUGGGGGAUGACGGCCUUCGGGUUGUAAAGUACUUUCAGCGGGGAGGCGUUACCCGCAGAAGAAGCACCGGCUAACUCCGUGCCAGCAGCCGCGGUAAUUC